UUACUUACCUGGAGCAGCAUUAUGCAGAUCAUUAAGAGUGUGGUGCCAGGGUAAGAUCGACAUUGCACACCGUCAGAUUGACCCCUGCAACUUGGCACAAGGUGCCUUGUUGGGCUUACAAUUUAUGUAUGAUGGGAUUGCGUUCGCGCAUCCCUAUU
rnacentral:snRNA from 1 species